UCAGGCUUGAGUUCCUCAAUAUAUCCAGCUCAUCGAUUUAGCUCUGGAUGUUUGUUGUAAGAUUUUACAUCCUAGGCCUGGAUGUGAACCUUGACCUGGACAAUCUUACAGACAAUAAUAGAAGAGUCACCUGAAAUUGCACAGGCAAAUUCAUCAGAUUCAGAUCCUGUCCUGCCAUCUUCAGGUAGACGCAGUAGUGGAUAUCCUGGCAAACCUUUAUUGGACUUA
rnacentral:lncRNA from 1 species